GACGAACGCUGGCGGCGUGCUUAACACAUGCAAGUCGAACGGAAAGGCCCUGCUUGCAGGGUGCUCGCGUGGCGAACGGGUGAGUAACACGUGGGUGAUCUGCCCCUUACUUUGGGAUAAGCCUGGGAAACUGGGUCUAAUACUGGAUAGGACCAUGCUGUAGGUGGUGUGGUGGAAAGAUUAGUUUCGGUAAGGGAUGAGCUCGCGGCCUAUCAGCUUGUUGGUGGGGUAAUGGCCUACCAAGGCGUCGACGGGUAGCCGGCCUGAGAGGGUGGACGGCCACAUUGGGACUGAGAUACGGCCCAGACUCCUACGGGAGGCAGCAGAGGGGAAUAGUGCACAAUGGGCGCAAGCCGGAUGCAGCGACGCCGCGUGGGGGAUGACAGCCUUCGGGUUGUAAACUCCCUUCAGCCAUGACGAAGCCCUUGUGGUGACGGUAGUGGUAGAAGAAGCACCGGCUAACUACGUG
rnacentral:rRNA from 1 species